rnacentral:rRNA from 1 species
UUUUUUUCUUGGCUCAGAUUGAACGCUGGCGGCAGGCCUAACACAUGCAAGUCGAACGGUAACAGGAAGCAGCUUGCUGCUUUGCUGACGAGUGGCGGACGGGUGAGUAAUGUCUGGGAAACUGCCUGAUGGAGGGGGAUAACUACUGGAAACGGUGGCUAAUACCGCAUAACGUCGCAAGACCAAAGAGGGGGACCUUCGGGCCUCUUGCCAUCAGAUGUGCCCAGAUGGGAUUAGCUUGUUGGUGAGGUAACGGCUCACCAAGGCGACGAUCCCUAGCUGGUCUGAGAGGAUGACCAGCCACACUGGAACUGAGACACGGUCCAGACUCCUACGGGAGGCAGCAGUGGGGAAUAUUGCACAAUGGGCGCAAGCCUGAUGCAGCCAUGCCGCGUGUAUGAAGAAGGCCUUCGGGUUGUAAAGUACUUUCAGCGGGGAGGAAGGUGUUGUGGUUAAUAACCACAGCAAUUGACGUUACCCGCAGAAGAAGCACCGGCUAACUCCGUGCCAGCAGCCGCGGUAAUACGGAGGGUGCAAGCGUUAAUCGGAAUUACUGGGCGUAAAGCGCACGCAGGCGGUCUGUCAAGUCGGAUGUGAAAUCCCCGGGCUCAACCUGGGAACUGCAUUCGAAACUGGCAGGCUUGAGUCUUGUAGAGGGGGGUAGAAUUCCAGGUGUAGCGGUGAAAUGCGUAGAGAUCUGGAGGAAUACCGGUGGCGAAGGCGGCCCCCUGGACAAAGACUGACGCUCAGGUGCGAAAGCGUGGGGAGCAAACAGGAUUAGAUACCCUGGUAGUCCACGCCGUAAACGAUGUCUACUUGGAGGUUGUGCCCUUGAGGCGUGGCUUCCGGAGCUAACGCGUUAAGUAGACCGCCUGGGGAGUACGGCCGCAAGGUUAAAACUCAAAUGAAUUGACGGGGGCCCGCACAAGCGGUGGAGCAUGUGGUUUAAUUCGAUGCAACGCGAAGAACCUUACCUGGUCUUGACAUCCACAGAACUUUCCAGAGAUGGACUGGUGCCUUCGGGAACUGUGAGACAGGUGCUGCAUGGCUGUCGUCAGCUCGUGUUGUGAAAUGUUGGGUUAAGUCCCGCAACGAGCGCAACCCUUAUCCUUUGUUGCCAGCGGUCAGGUCGGGAACUCAAAGGAGACUGCCAGUGAUAAACUGGAGGAAGGUGGGGGGAUGACGUCAAGUCAUCAUGGCCCUUACGACCAGGGCUACACACGUGCUACAAUGGCGCAUACAAAGAGAAGCGACCCUCGCGAGAGCAAGCGGACCUCAUAAAGUGCGUCGUAGUCCGGAUUGGAGUCUGCAACUCGACUCCAUGAAGUCGGAAUCGCUAGUAAUCGUGGAUCAGAAUGCCACGGUGAAUACGUUCCCGGGCCUUGUACACACCGCCCGUCACACCAUGGGAGUGGGUUGCAAAAGAAGUAGGUAGCUUAACCUUCGGGAGGGCGCUUACCACUUUGUGAUUCAUGACUGGGGUGAAGUCGUAACAGGGUUAGCC